rnacentral:misc_RNA from 1 species
AGGUAAUGAAACAUGCAUCAAAUAACAGAACAUAUCGUAAUAGAAAAAAACUUCUAGUUUUGUUCCAAGAUUUGGUUUAAGAGAACAAAAGGCUAUGCAAGAAAUUCUAGAGAAAAAAGAACUAUACAUGAACUCAUUUCUUUUAACUAUGUUUCUAAGAAAAUAGUAAAUAAAUAAUGCUUUCAGCAAAGUACAAAUAUAAAAAAAAUGCUUAAAAAACAAGAUAUCAAGGAUUAUUUAAAAAAAAUUAUACUGUAGAUUUACUAAUACCACCCUAUUUAAUUUACUUGAAAGAACUUGUAGUGAUGAAAUUUCUUUUAGAGAGAGAGAGAGAGAGAG